UACGUAGGGUGCAAGCGUUGUCCGGAAUUAUUGGGCGUAAAGAGCUCGUAGGCGGUUCGUCGCGUCGGCUGUGAAAUCCCGGAGCUCAACUCCGGGUCUGCAGUCGAUACGGGCGGACUCGAGUUCGGCAGGGGAGACUGGGAUUCCUGGUGUAGCGGUGAAAUGCGCAGAUAUCAGGAGGAACACCGGUGGCGAAGGCGGGUCUCUGGGCCGAUACUGACGCUGAGGAGCGAAAGCGUGGGGAGCGAACAGG
rnacentral:rRNA from 1 species